AGGGUUUUCUUAGAAGAUACAUUAGUCAAUGAUGUAAGGCGCAUCGCAGACUUAAGAGAGCACCGAACCACCAACUUAAAAGAUAUUCUGACCCUUAAACUGGAUGAAGUCAUUCGGCGUUAUGCCUGGCAGAAGCUGCUAGAGACAUCCACGGAACCCGUGAAAGACUUUCUGCUGAUGCAUCAGAACCGCAUCGCCA